ensembl:lncRNA
AGUCUUCUCAAAGUCAUGCAGUUAUGGAUUUGUUGUGGAGAUGAAAGCAACUGGAACUAUGAUCCACAGGAAAACAAAGCUGAGCAUCAAAGUGAAAACAUAAAGAGCUGCCUUACAAAUUUUGUGUAACAUAUUCGCUCACUGCGCUGUUGCACACGUCUGCCAAAACCCAGAGGACUCUACAAAAUGGAACCCCUGACAGCUGCUGCAAGAGGAGAUCUUUGGAAAGAGCUGAAAGGACGCUGGCAGUGGCUGUGCAAGCGUAUAGACAGUGACUUUUGGAGUCUUCUUUCUGUCAGAGUAAGUAGAGAAAAGCAAGUGAUCUUUUCCCAGUGUCUGUUUUUCCUUGCAGUUUCCCCAUAUGCCACGUUCUGUGAAAAAAGUUGUCCUGGACGAGAUCCUUAUUGCCAUUUUUCACUGAAGAUGCAUCCUCAUGUAUUCCUCCCAGUUUAAUAAUUGAAUAAAAUCCUAAAUGAGAACUUGUUAAGUAACUCUGAGUACUACCCUGCAAGAGCCAUGAAACAGAUUCUUAACCUCGCAGGAUUUUGUAACUUCUUGAAGGAAAAAUCCAUGUACCGUCUUGUGCAGUGAGCUGGAGAGUUAGACAAAAGGACCUGUGAAUGGCACAUCUGUGCUGGUCCCAGCGUGAGGCUUAUUUCUGGAGUUCACACCAGACACAGGUGGUGCCCAUCUUUAAGAAAAUAAGCGUGUAAUAAUCUCCUUCAUCAUGACUUUCUCUGAGAAAACUGUGUCACUGCACAGUCGAGUCACAUAGGCAAUUAUUGCCAUGCAGACUGCUCUAUAGCAAUGUGUAGGCUGCAUCCCAUGCCCUUAAUAGUCCUUUGCAGAGUGUUUUUAAAUAUACAACCAUUGCAGUCAUUGAGAUUUCUGUCUAUCUAUAGUUUUUAAUUACUCUGACGGUUAUGUAGCUUUAUUUUAAGACAAAAUUUUAUUAGCAUUUGGGAUAAUAUAGUAAGAUUUUCAUUUAUUGUUUUUUCUUGUUGACACGGUUUUGUUAAUCAAUGUCAUAAUAGAACUGUAUAUGAACUUAAAUAAAUUUUAUAAUUAAGCUUAUUUUGUUCUUGAUUGUAUUUUUUGGAGAACGAUGGGCAAUCUCAUCAGAGCAAAUGUGGCACUUUUGUUCUCUGUACAUUUAGUACUACCAGUACUAGGAGAUGUGUGACAUCUUGCAUGUGGCAAAAAGGGUCACAAAGGCCAGGCAUCCAUUUGUAGGAGUGAGCUCAUGAAUCCUGCAGAAAAAAACACCUGGUCCCAAGUAUUGCACAGUGAUAAAUCACCUGGAUACAGUAAAAAACAAAAAAACAGAGCCUUCUACAAAAGGAAACCCUAAUUUUCUUCCUGAUAAAGCAUUUUCUGGAAAUUUUAAUUAGUUCAUAGAAAGGCUUUGGAAGACCAAUAGCAAAAUAAUGAGUUCCUCGUAAAUUGGAUCUGCUAAAUGCACUGCAGCAGCCAGCAUUCAAAGUAAAUGACUUUACAUGAUAUACGGGGCAUGCUGUGACAGCCUCUUCCUCCAGCUAAGAAAUUCAUUAAACUCCUCAAUGUACAGAUCAGUGGGUUACAGAGACAUUCGUAUCUCUAAAGAUUAGUAGGACAACACAACAUAAUAGAAAUGCAUAAAUAUUUUCCCUUUUUAUGCCAUCAGAUUAAAUUAUUAGCAUGAUUUUACAUACAUACCUUUUUUAAGCAUUGUUUAAUUUAAAGCAGUUUCAAGUGGGCCUUCAAUUAAGCGAUGUGUAACUCUUUUACAACAGAAGAACACAAAAAGAACCCUCAGCUAUAUCUGUAAUGCGGCUUUGAAACCAUCAGGACAAGGACUAAAGGAAAGAGUCGACAAGGGCAGUAGGAACGGUGCAAACACAGAGCCCACAAGCUUACUUCCACAUUCCAUGUAAUGUAAACCUUGCUAAUUUGGAGCUGAAUGACGACGGAACACUGUUGCUUUAUGUUAUCAUUGCAUACCCUGAGGAGAGCCACAGUCUCAAAGGUCUUUGUUAUCUUUCCAUAUAUAAGAUCUACCUUCACACAAUACCUCAUUUAUUGCCAUUGCCUUGCGAGACCUUGCAUGUAAAUGACAGAAUUCAGAUGAACAGAUAAGAGAUCGUUACAAACAGUUGGUGUGUCAUAUGGUGGUUUGCACCCAUAGUGGUUUUCACAGACCUAAAUAAAAAGGUUUAAAACGGCUUUAAUUAUGCUGGUAGGGCUGCUAUGUGCUGAUAGGGCAUCACUCAGCUUUCUUUCUGUGUUUGGCAUAGCCAAGGGGCUCUUCAUGUGCAUGAUGUAAUAGGCAUUGAGCAACGUAUAGGUGUGUUCACACGCAUUACCGACUGAUCGGAGCAGUGAGUCAAUACAAUACAACAAAACAAAAUCAAAGGGAUUCUGUUCUCGUUGACACUCACAUAAUUGAAAAUGAUGUAAUUGAGGAUUCA